AAAUAAUCAUAUCUAGCUCACAAAGUUGCUGAAAAAAUAAGUAACAAGAGAAAUUGCCUAGCCCCAAGAAUUACAUAUUCAAUAAAUGUUACCUUCCUUUCUCUCUGCUUUAACACUAUUUCCCCUAGCAAGACUUCUCUGAUGCCCUAGACUGGGUUAGGUACUCUUCCUCUCUUUGCUCUUAGCACUUUGCACUUACCUGGAGCAGAAUGUAGAUCAUGCUACAAUUAAUGUAUCUACUCAUCUGUCUCCACUUUGAGACUGGAGCUGCUCCAUGUGCCUGUUAACUAUUCUAAGCACUUUGAAAAUAACAACCCAGUUAAUCCUCAUAUGAACUCUGUGAAGGAGUUCAUGAUCAUCCCCCUUCAUACCAAUUAAAAAAUAAGGCAAGGAGAGAUUAAAUCACGUGUCUCAGGUUGCAUGUCUGGCAUACAGGGGGUGUUCACUUAUUCCUUCUUGUUGGAUCAUUCCAGAUGCCAUCGCCUUAAAGGGGACUCUUGUGGCUCUUUUCUCCAAAUAACUCACUUAUUCACCAUAAUAUCCACAUUGACAUUUUCUCCAUCAUAGCUGAUUCACUGAUUGAUUGGUGGACAGACAUCUCUCACCAAAAUAAAAGCUUUAAGAGGAAAGAUAUUUUACCUGUCUUGUUCAUUGUUGUGGUACCCAGCUGUUAGGAUAGGCCCUGACACAUAGGAGGUGUUCAAUGAGUAUUUGCUGAGUAAAUGAACACAUGCAUGCAUUUCUUAAUUGCUUCACUUAUACUGUAACUUAAAAACAAUGGCCUAUGUCAAAGCGUAUGUCUAUACAUUCUUGUGAAAGUUUGUAGCAUUUUAAAUUGGAGAUGGGUUAGGGAUGAGGAAGACUGUAGAGACAGGUAAAGAGUACUCCCUUCUGCUCUGCACUGUCUCCUGGACUCUAAAUAGCAUCACUUGUCUCCCAGCAGCUGGCCAGCAGGUGGGGAGAGACCCUCCGCUCAGAAGGCAGGAGGAGUUUCUGCUCAAGGUGACAGGAGCAAAGCAGGAGGAAGCUGCACAGGGAAGAGAUAUACUGCAGUCAUGGCAUUAAACCUGAGAGCCCACUGAUGUUGAUCUUGGCCAUGCGACAUGAAUCGGCUGGUGAGAUACUGGCAGUCAUGAUGUGAACCGAGGCUUGCAUAGUGGGGCUUCCUCUUUGUGUUUUUGCAUUGCCGUGAGAGGAACAUGCUCUGCCUUGCUUGCUGGUCCGAGUAGGGUAACAGACAUAAGAGCAGACCUGGACCUAACCUGAAGUUUGAAGACAAGCCUCGCCAAGACAGUGUAAAUCAGCAGAUCCCCCCAGCCUGCUUUCAGAUGUUUGAAUGAGAAUAAAGGAUUGCCAC
rnacentral:lncRNA from 1 species